rnacentral:rRNA from 1 species
GUAGUCAUAUGCUUGUCUUAAAGAUUAAGCCAUGCAUGUCUAAGUAUAAGCAUUUAUACAGCGAAACUGCGAAUGGCUCAUUAAAUCAGUUAUAGUUUAUUUGAUAGUACCUUACUACUUGGAUAACCGUAGUAAUUCUAGAGCUAAUACAUGCUAAAAGCCCAAGCUUUUCGGAAUGGGUGCAUUUAUUAGAUAAAAAACCAAUGCAUGGGGGUAACUUCAUGGUAUUUUGGUGAUUCAUGAUAACUUUGCGAAUCGCAUAGCCUUGAGCUGGCGAUAAUUCAUUCAAAUUUCUGCCCUAUCAACUUUCGAUGGUAGUGUAGUGGACUACCAUGGUGAUAACGGGUAACGGAGAAUUAGGGUUCGAUUCCGGAGACGGUGCCUGAGAGAUGGCAACGACUUCCAAGGAAGGCAGCAGGCGCGCAAAUUACCCAAUCUCAAUACGAGGAGGUAGUGACAAUACAUAACAAUACAGGACUUGAAUAAAGUCUUGUAAUUGGAAUGAGUACAAUUUAAACCCCUUAACAAGGAACAAUUGGAGGACAAGUCUGGUGCCAGCACCCGCGGUAAUUCCAGCUCCAAUAGCGUAUAUUAAAGUUGUUGCAGUUAAAAAGCUCGUAGUUGGAUUUUAGAGUUACCCGCUCGUUUACCUUGAAAAAAUUAGAGUGUUUAAAGCAGGCGUUUUCCGCCCUGAAUACAUUAGCAUGGGAUAAUAGAAUAGGACUGUCUGUCUAUUUUGUUGGUUUCUAGAUGGAUAGUAAUGAUUAAUAGAGAUGGUUGGGGACAUUUAUAUUCCAUGGUCAGAGGUGGAAUUCUUGGAUUCAUGGAAGAUAAACAAGUGCGAAAGCAUUUGUCAAGGAUGUUUUCAUUAAUCAAGAACGAAAGUUAGGGGAUCGAAGACGAUCAGAUACCGUCGUAGUCUUAACCAUAAACGAUGCGGACCAGGGAUUGGGAGACGUUACGUGGAUGACUCCCCCAGCACCUUGUGAGAAAUCACGAGUCUUUGCGUUCCGGGGGGAGUAUGGUCGCAAGGCUGAAACUUAAAGGAAUUGACGGAAGUGCACCACCAGGAGUGGAGCCUGCGGCUUAAUUUGACCCAACACGGGGAAACUCACCAGGUCCAGACAUAGUAAGGAUUGACAGAUUGAGAGCUCUUUCUUGAUUCUAUGGGUGGUGGUGCAUGGCCGUUCUUAGUUGGUGGAGUGAUUUGUCUGGUUAAUUCCGAUAACGAACGAGACCUCAGCCUGCUAACUAGUGGGUUCAACCUUCUGCAUGGGUGAAUCUUUAAUUGUGUGGGAUCUUUGUAUUUCAUUCAAUUAAAGUGGAUCCUUGACGAGUUGGAUCU